GUCCGUAGGUGAACCUGCGGAAGGAUCAUU
rnacentral:rRNA from 1 species